CCCUGCUCUCUGUUCUGCACUGCACCCUUCUGCAUUGGGUCAACACGGGAGAUUAGAGGGCUGGCUAAUUGCAUUCUCUGGAACUCAGUAUCUCUGUCUUUCAUAUAGGAAAAGUGAUCCUUUCUGCUGCCAUCAUUUGGAGUACCCUGCCCAUAGGGAACGGUUCUCUGUCUUUAUAAUUCUUCACCAAUGUCUCCCAACAUCAAUGACACUUCUUCAUUGACAUCACAGUGGUCUGUAUAACAUAAAUCUCAUUCUCUGCUUAGAGGUCUUCUACAACAGGGAUAAAAUCAAGACAUUGCAAGUGUUCAUCCUUUCCUUAACCCACUCCUUACCAGAACAAGAGGACUUCAGGGAGGGAGAGACUUUUUUUUUUUUUUAAGAUUUUAUUUAUUUAUUCAUGAGACACACACACAGAGAGAGAAAGAGAGAGAGAGAGGCAAAGACACAGGCAAAGAGAGAAGCAGGCUCCAUGCAGGGAGCCUGACGCGGGGCCCUGGGCUGAAGGUCACUCUAAACCGCUGAGCCACCCGGUCUGCCCAGGGAUGGAGAGUCUUAAAGGACUUCUGAGGCAGUUUUCUGGGUGUUGGACAACAAAAUUACAUUCCUCCCACCCCUCAUCCCUACCUUGGCUCCCAGGUUCUCACCAUCUGGGUAGAGUGAUCUGAAUUUUUGCUGGGUGUGAGGAGUCAUAAACAGGCCCAGAUUUAUUUGCUUGCUAUUUGGGGUUUUUCCACUGCCUCUAGAGUGAAAUUAGAGACCUCAGUGCACCCCUGCUCCCAGGGCUACUCUCUCUACACUGCCUUCUCUUCCCUGCAUGCACAGAGCUGUAGGAGACUCUCAAAGAGAGAGAGGCCUCUCUAGUCCUCCUGGUUCUACACCUGUGGUUUCUCAAACUCAUCCCCAGACUCUCUGGUUCCUCACUGAGUGCUUUUAUGGUGCUCCCUCACCUUCAUGUCUUCCCUGCACCCUCAUGCUGGCCAAGGCCCCUCUAAUGUACACACACACUACCUUAGCCUCCAUCUCUCAAGAUGCAUGUGGAAAAGAUCACAGAUUCCCAAGAAGACAGGAGCCCCAGAAACUCAGCUGAUCGGAAGAGCAAUAGGAGGCAAAUGUAUAUCAAAAGGCAAUCUGGGAGCACAGGCUGGCCCUGUGAGGCUUGAAAGCAAUUGUGAUCAUUUCCCAGCACAACAAAGGCCUCCAGCCAGAAGGUGCCCAGAGGGGGAAGGGGUGGAGAUGUCCAUCUGAGGUGACCCACCAUGCUACCUAGAAGUCAUCUGCAGGAUGGCUGGCCUACUGCUGGGCUUAGGUUGAGGCUUUACUGAGUGAGAACACUUAAUGUGAUGCUUGCUUUCCUAAAUUAGCACUCAUUUCCCUGGAAGCAAAAGCAGAGUUAUGGAAUCUGGGUUAGCUCAGGAGGGCGUUACUGAGUGGGACCAUUCAACCAGGGGGCACAAUCCCACCCACCCACUUCUCUACCUUCAUUCUCUGCCCCUAACACCCCAUGCAGGUCUCAUCUAGGCAAUUUCCUUCACCUUCUUCUUCCUGAUGCCUCUUCUCCAACUUCAGGUUCUCGGCAUAAAAAUAACAGAGCACAAACAUGGCAGAUACCCCCAGCACCUGCUCUCUCUUUUCCAGUAAAUAUGCCACUCUGCGAUAAGAGUUAGAGAAAAAAACAGAGUUCAGAAAGGCAGCACCAGGAACCCACCCCACAUGUCCAUCCCAUGCCUCAUCUCCUCCCUGCCUUGGUGACCCAUUUCCUACCUGACCCAGAGCUUCAGGCACCCAUCCACCAGCAUCAGUUUCUACCCAUGAGAUUGACCCCAUCUGCCCUCCUGGCUGUUUAGCUGAAAAAUGAGGACAAGUCAAGAGCCUGAGACCCUAAACAAUCUCUCCUCAGUGAGAACCAGAAAUCUACUGUGGGGCUUAGUGUCGGUGGGAAUGAAAUUUGGAUACUAUCAUUGACCUUAAUGGUCUUGAUUGGUGGGGGAGCAUUUGAUGGCCAUUAGCAGAUCUCUGUGCUGAUCCUGGCUCUGACUAGUUGAGUGACCAAUAGCAUGUCAUUUGCCCUCUCAGGUCUGCUUCAGAUGCAACCAUGAGCUUGCUCAGCGCCCCUGUUAACAGAUGAGGGGAAGGGCACAGCAGAAUUUUCCACCCAGACAGCCCUUUCUGGACAGCCCUUGACUCUUGUCUAGUGCCUCUUGGACUCCAGGACAUAAGAACUCUGCUGGGGCCCCAAACAUAGAACCUGAACCCUCUGAUGCCUUCUGAUUGGACCAUGUUCUCAGGCCACUGAGCACAAAUGACAUUCUGGAAAAAACUCUCCCUCUCCAGCAUUCAAGGAACCACCUUUUUUUCCCAACCUCCUCUCCUUGUGAAUUCCCAUGGCAGAGACCAAGCACAACUCUCCUGCCUGCCACUGAAGCUCUGGAUUCCUUUUAAAAUGAGUAGGAAAAAUCAGAGAGGGUGACAAAACACAAGAGACUCCUAACUCUGGGAAAGGAACAAGGGGUAGAGGAAGAGGAGGUGGGUGGGCGGAUGGGGUGACUGGGUGAUGGGCACUGAGGAGUGCACUGGACGGAAUGAGCACUGGGUGUUAUACUAUAUGUUGGCAAAUCAAACUCCAAUAAAAAAUAUACAUACAAAAAAAUAAGAUUGCUG
rnacentral:lncRNA from 12 species